GUACUGAGACACGGACCAGACUCCUACGGGAGGCAGCAGUGAGGAAUAUUGGACAAUGGGGGCAAUCCUGAUCCAGCCAUGCCGCGUGCAGGAAGACUGCCCUAUGGGUUGUAAACUGCUUUUAUACAGGAAGAAAAAGCCCGACGUGUCGGGUGUUGACGGUACUGUAAGAAUAAGGAUCGGCUAACUCCGUGCCAGCAGCCGCGGUAAUACGGAGAAUCCAAGCGUUAUCCGGAAUCAUUGGGUUUAAAGGGUCCGUAGGCGGGACAAUAAGUCAGUGGUGAAAGUCUGCAACUCAACUGUAGAAUUGCCAUUGAUACUGUUGUUCUUGAGUGCUUGUGAAGUGGUUAGAAUGAGUAGUGUAGCGGUGAAAUGCAUAGAUAUUACUCAGAAUACCGAUUGCGAAGGCAGAUCACUAACAAUUCACUGACGCUGAUGGACGAAAGCGUAGGUAGCGAACAGGAUUAGAUACCCUGGUAGUCUACGCCGUAAACGAUGGUUACUAGCUGUCCGGAUCAAUUGAGGUCUGAGUGGCUAAGCGAAAGUGAUAAGUAACCCACCUGGGGAGUACGUUCGCAAGAAUGAAACUCAAAGGAAUUGACGG
rnacentral:rRNA from 1 species